GCCAGCUAUUUAACAGUGUUUUUCUCUUAUAGUAAAUUAGUGAACAAUAUUUUCAAUCAUAACUUUUCAGCCAAGCGAACAUGCUAGUUUAGUACGUACUCCCUGUAUCAAACUGUUGAAGAAAUGAAAGAUGCUUUGCUGAGGGGUAAAUAAAGGUAUAAGGAGUGAACAUUUAUGUAGGGGGCGUAAUUUUCGAACAAAAAACAGCAAUGAAUUUUCAGUAUUUUUCAAUAUACUGUAUGUAUAUAUGCAUAUUUAUCUAGGAAGUACGAAGUACUAUACUAGUAUCUGUAAACCGCAAAAUAGAGAGAGGCGCUUUUUGUGGCGAGCAAAAGCGAGGUGUGAACGCAGUUUUAGAGAAAUGAGCCACGAAGGCACGACCCUAUCCUCUCAAUCCUUUUGAAAUGGUCGUCGGGGAGGUCCAUACAAGCCGCGUUGUCAGUGGCAGGGGCCCCACACGUCGGCGUCUAGUAGCCGACCGAUGAGAUUCCGCACCUGUGGGUCUGCAAGACUUUCAAGUUUCAACCCACCAGGACCCCGACGACGGGCAAGACUUCAUGCGGUGGUGGCCCAGCCAGCCGGCUCACGUCUCGUUUUUAAUGGAUGAACCGGGAAUGGCUUGGGGUCCAAGGAAAGAUCGCGAGAGAGAUCCGAGCGCUGCAGAAACGAACGAAGCCGCGGCGCGGGCAGGCGGGCCGGGCCAUGCUUUUGCCUGCGUGGACGCUCUUGCCGGGGGCCGCGUGGUGGCUAGCUAGCAGCCAGCCGUCCGGCUGACAUGUCUCUGCACUAGCGGCCCGGAUGGGUGGAGUGGCGCGCAAGCUACGACCCACCUGUGGGAGCGGGAUCGCGCAGCAGAGUAUAUCCUGCCACGUCGUUGCUACUGUUUGAUUUGCACGCUAAUCUGCGAGUGUUUUUUUUUUUUCCGUUAAUUUCCGUCCGUCCUCAGACGUAGUAUGUAGCGGCAGUCCGGCCGUAUUUUUUUUUUUAAAAAAAUCAACCGGCAGACUUUAUUCAUUUAAGAUUGUUACAUCAAUUGGAGGAUGAUAUAGUUGGACUUUGUUUAGUUGCGAUUUUUUUUUUUCAAAAUGGGCACUAUAGCACUUUCGUCUGUACUUGAUAAAUAUUGUUCAAUCAUAGAUUAACUCGGCUCAAAAGAUUCAUCUCACAAAUUACAGGUAACUGUGUGUAGAGGUAUAAACCCCUAUACCCUCAUGGGCCUAUAUGGGCCGCACCGUCAGAGGUGGCUCGGCCCACAGGAUGAAGACGUGCGGCGCACGACUGAUCGCCGUGCACCGCAAGACUACAAGAUAUUGUACCAAAUAGGAUAGUUUACUUGUAACUCUGUCCCUUCAGGAUAUAUAAGAGGGGCAGGCGCCCCUAGAGGACGAGUCAGAUACACGAUUAUUCUCUCAACACAAAUCAAUACAACCAGACGCAGGACGUAGGUAUUACGCCAACUCGGCGGCCGAACCUGGAU
rnacentral:lncRNA from 1 species